GUGUUUUUCAUAGUAUUAGAUAUAAGAUUAAUUAAAAGAGACGUACCCGCUUGUGAUAAGUAAGUACAUCAAAAACAGAAGCGUCUGUUUGAUUGAUAAAUGUGUAAGGAGCAUCGGUUUACCAGAGCCGAUGCUUUUUUUUA
rnacentral:sRNA from 1 species